rnacentral:rRNA from 1 species
AGAUAGAAACCAACCUGGCUCACACCGGUCUGAACUCAAAUCAUGUAAAGUUUUAAAGGUCGAACAGACCUUCUUUUAUAGUCUCUACUCCAUAAAGAACCUUUAAUUCAACAUCGAGGUCGCAAACAUUCUUAUCGAUAAGAACUCUUUAAGAAAAUUACGCUGUUAUCCCUAAAGUAACUUAAUCUUUAAUCCAUUUUAAGAUCAUUAACUCAAACAUCAUUGUAAAAAAAAAAAACAGUUACUUUUAUUUUAUUCCUGUCGCCCCAACCAAAUACUCAAAAAUAAUAAUCUUCAAACAAACCAUACCUACCACUUUUUAAUAUAAAGUUUUAUAGGGUCUUAUCGUCCCUUCAGAUUAUUUAAGCCUUUUCACUUAAAAGUUAAAUUCAAUAUAUUAAUUUAAGACAGAUUAUUUCUUGUCCAACCAUUCAUUCUAGCCUCCAAUUAAAAAACUAAUGAUUAUGCUACCUUCGCACGGUC